rnacentral:rRNA from 1 species
UACGUAGGGGGCUAGCGUUGUCCGGAUUUAUUGGGCGUAAAGAGCGUGUAGGCGGCCAGGUAGGUCUGCUGUGAAAACUCGAGGCUUAACCUCGAGAUGUCGGCGGAAACCAUCUGGCUAGAGUCCGGAAGAGGAGAGUGGAAUUCCUGGUGUAGCGGUGAAAUGCGCAGAUAUCUGGAGGAACACCGGUGGCGAAGGCGACAUCCUGGACCGGUAUUGACGCUGAGUGAGCGAAAGCCAGGGGAGCAAACGGG